UCAAAAUCUGGCGAGUGGUGUCUGAGAUAGCGUGUGGGUUAGCUAGACUCAUAUCCCUGAGCAUGUAUGCCAAAUUUCAGCACUCUGAGUCAAACAGAUUAAGACAUAUUGAGUCUUAACAGUGUUUGCAACGUGUUCCAAAUUGUUACAAUAUGAAUAUCCUUGACGGAUUUAUAUGCAUUUGUGAGCCAGACCACGCCCACGUGAGUGUUUAUUGGUCAACAGCGGCCAUGUUAUUUUAGGCACUAGUCUGGAAAAUAUUGUUGUUGAGAGACUUUUGUGCAUAGAUGACACAUGUCAAGUUUUGUCCAGAUCAGUCAUUUGGUGCCAGAAGAGUAGCGUUUUAACAAAAACAUUUAAAAAUCCAUCAUGGCAGACCUUAUGGGUCCCUGAGGCAAAUUUGUUCCUUGUGAGGAGAGGGAGCUAUGUAUCGAAUUUCAAAACGGAGCAUUUGACCUAAAGUCUUUAAAUUCGGUACAUUUAGUGGGCUAAUGUAAUUUCAGAUUUGUGUGUGUUGGAUAAUGAGCUGCCAGUGUCACAAACUCACUGUUUACGAAGCUGACCAAACAAGAGAAACCUCUCUGGGCUGGGGUGUAAUUAACUAAAUUUGUCCAAUAGAAAAUCUUGUUUUAAGUCCCUCCCCGUUUCGUUUCUUUUACUUCCGUUUAAGAAACGUUUCGCAACAGAAUGGUCUGAAUGAAUACACACAUGCCUUGGUAUGCGAGACCACAACAACGUACCCUUUUUGGCCACUAAUGCGUUCCGUUGGAAAUCAGAACGUUGUCGUGGAAGUUAUCAACAUAAAUUGUGAACUUCAACGUAAUGUUUCAAAAAGUUAAAGUUUCCCGUCGUGUUGUCCCUGUUUAAAUCAAAUGUUUAGGGAGUCGUGUCCUGCACAAUAAAUUGUCAAAUGCAGCAGACUGAACGGAGACCGAAAUGAUGGUUGAAAUUCCACACAACAAAAUGUGAUCACUCACCAUAGUGCGAUAGUUUUGGUAUUUUUACAGUCUAUCAAUGAGUCUCUACAUAUGUUUAUAUGUUUUAAUUAAAUGUUUGGGACCAUAACCAAUAAAAAAACAGAUCCAGACUUACCCUAGUAACCUUCUUCACCAGUGAUCUCUUGUUAAUGAUUCCUCUCUCUCCGGCAGGUGUUGUUCAUGGUUGAGUCAGGCCCAGUAGAGUGAUACUAUGUGGGUGUGGACGUGGGGACAGCCAGAGUGAGAGCUGCUCUGGUCACCAGGGAGGGACAGAUGAAGACUACUGCAGAGGAACCUGUCACCAUCUGGGAGCCUCACUCAGACCAUUAUGUCCAGUCAUCCACUGACAUCUGGUCUAAGUGCUGUAGCACAGUUAGGGUGAGACUGACUGCAAUGCGGUGAUGUGGAGGGACGCAUCACCAGCACCGGCCACAGGGUCCUGGGCAGGGUUGGAGGCGUGAUGUCAUCAGAGAUGCAGCCUCCCAAGCUACUCUGGCUGAGAGCAGUCAGAGAACAUGAGAGAGACCUGCUGGUGGGACACCGCCCACUUUCUGGACCUUCUUGACUUCCUGUCCUGGAAGGACACAGGUUCUCUGGCCAGGUCUUUACUGUAUGUACUCUGGUGUGUAACUGGACAUACUGCCCCACAUAAAAAUGGAACACCAGCUUCUGGACAACCAUUGGUCUGGAGGACUUACUGGAAAACAACCGUUCCAAAAUAGGCAGUGUGACCUGCUAUCGAGGGAGCCCAGUGGGAGAAGGCCUUACCCAUGAAGCUGCAACUCAUCAAUGCAUGGGUAGACACUCCUUCCAAAGGUCUCCUGGUUUUUUAGUAUACCACUGGUGCUUCAUAUUGCCGUUAAUCUAUAGAUGAGCUUAGAAUAGAAUAGAGAUCUAGAUGUUAACUGCACAUGUUUCUGUGAGCUGUUCUGUAGAAGCUACUGCAGGAGUUUAUCAUCACCUGGACCAGUCACCUAACCAGACCUUGGCCAUCUGGCUCUGUUUAGGCAGUUAAACUGCUCACGAACUUCGGCUUCUGUCCCCUGCCAUGACCUCUGCCGAUCACACAUUGGGUCGAAGGUGAAAGGUUGAAGCACUCGGUGCGGUUCUGACUGUUUUACAUAUCAGAGUGACGUGCACUCUGCUCCUCCACCUCUGUGUUUCCUCCUUCCAUGGCCGCGGGAAGAUGUUUUGGGUUGGGUGUGCUGUCAAACAAAUGUGACAGCCUUGUCAAACAAAUGUGUUCUUGGUGUUAAAAAAGAAGUAGAAGCCUUGUGCACAGCUUCAAUGGGCAGGAACAACUACGUUUUUUUUACAUCAUGUGUUUUCUGUUUUCCUAGUGAACUUUUAAAAUGUAGAAGUGGAAAUGUCAAGUAGACCGAAGAAUGAGAAAUGCUUAUUUUUUCACAACAUACUUGGUGGGAUGUAAAUGAGGAAGAUUUUCAAAAAGUAAGUGAACAUUUAAUCGUUAUAUGUGAAUAUAUGAAACCUGUGCCGGUGGAAAAA